rnacentral:rRNA from 1 species
UACGUAGGGGGCAAGCGUUGUCCGGAAUUAUUGGGCGUAAAGAGCGUGUAGGCGGUCCGGUAAGUCAGCUGUGAAAGCCCCGGGCUUAACCUGGGAACUGCGUUUGAAACUGGGGAGCUAGAGUGUAGAAGAGGGGGGUGGAAUUCCAGGUGUAGCAGUGAAAUGCGUAGAUAUCUGGAGGAACACCGAUGGCGAAGGCAGCCCCCUGGGCUAACACUGACGCUCAUGCACGAAAGCGUGGGGAGCAAACAGG